CCCGCCGGGGCGGUCGGAGACGGUCACGUUCCGCCUCGGGGCGGCGGACCUCGCGUCGUUCGACCCGGCGCAGUCGGC
rnacentral:tRNA from 1 species